GUGAGGAAUUUUCCGCAAUGGGCGAAAGCCUGACGGAGCAAUGCCGCGUGAAGGAUGAAGGCCUAUGGGUUGUAAACUUCUUUUCUCAGAAAAGAAUUAUGACGGUAUCUGAGGAAUAAGCAUCGGCUAACUCUGUGCCGGCAGCCGCGGUAAGACAGAGGAUGCAAGCGUUAUCCGGAAUGAUUGGGCGUAAAGCGUCUGUAGGUUGUUUAAAAAGUAUUCUGUCAAAGAUUAGGGCUUAACCCUAGAUAGGCAGAAUAAACUUUUAAGCUAGAGUUUGGUAGAGGCAGAGGGAAUUCCCGGUGGAGCGGUGAAAUGCGUAGAUAUCGGGAGGAACACCAAAGGCGAAGGCACUCUGCUGGGCCAAUACUAACACUGAGAGACGAAAGCGAGGGGAGCAAAUGGGAUUAGAAACCCGAGUAGUCC
rnacentral:rRNA from 1 species